rnacentral:tRNA from 1 species
UCCCUGGUGGCUCAGAUGGUAAAGCAUCUGCCUGCAAUGCAGGAGACCCGGGUUCGAUCCUUGAGUCGGGAA